rnacentral:lncRNA from 10 species
UUGAAGAGAAGGAAAAUGAGGUGAGCGCAUUACAGCCCUGCCUGACAAAAGUCACAAGGGAAGCAAAUGAUUAUUAUUUAAAACCAGAGAGUCCUAUAAUUUAUUCAUGAAUGCUACACAUGGUCUCUCUGUGCCUCCAUUUCCCCAUCUAAAAUGUGGGAAUGACAAUAAUAGUGUCUAUUUCACAGAGCUGUUUUGAGGAAAAUAAUAUAUGUAAAGCACUGUGAACAGCAGUCAGUGCUAUAUAAGUGUUUGCUCUAGUUAUUUUAACAUUUCAGAUGAUAAAUAUCUACCCUGUUAUUCAGAUGACAAGCGUCCCUAAGCUGAUAACAUGAUGAAGAGCUUUUGGGUUUCUUAAUUUCCAUCAGUUUUGUGAGGGAAAAAAUACCACAUGAAGAAGAGCAACUGAAGCAGGCGUGAGGAGGAAACUUGGCUUAAGAUUGGGGGGCUUGGGGUUAUUAGGCUUUCAUCUUCUAAAAUGUCCUAAGCUCCACUGAUAAGAAGACGCUUAGUAUCAAUCUAGCUAAAAAGGACCAAUAGGCCCCAAAAGACACUGAGUUAGAGACAAAAAUAGAAGGGUAAUAAAUGAAAUAUGGAAAACUACACAACCAGAAAAAUAAACAGCUACCAGUACCCAAAACGUGGCUAAAUCUCACAGGAUUCUGUUGAAUGAAAGAAGCCAGCCACAAACGCGCACAUACUGAAUGAUCCCAUUUAUAUGAAGUUCAAGAACAGGCAAAACUAAUCCAUGGUGACAGAGGUCAGGAUCCUGGUUAACUGUGAGGGGACAGCAACUGAGAAGGGGCAAGAGGGAGCCCUCUGUGCUGAUGGGAACAUCCUGUAUCUUGAGCUGAGUGUUGGUUACAUGAGUGUGCACAUAUGUAAAUACUAUUGAGUUGACUGGGCGUGGUGACUCACACCUGUAAUCCCAGCACUUUGGGAGGCCUAGGCAGGUGGAUCACUUGAGGUCAGGAGUUCAAGACCAGCCUGGUCAACAUGGUGAAACCCCAUCUCUACUACCAUACAAAAAUUAGCCAGGCGUGGUGGCAGGCGCCUAUAAUCCCAGCUACUCAGGAGGCUGAGGCUGGAGAAUCACUUGAACCCGGGAGGCAGAGGUUGCAGUGAGCCAAGAUCUUGCCACUGCACUCCAGUCUGGGCAACAGAGCAAGACUCCAUCUCAAAAACAAAAAACAAACCAAAAAACGAUAGUACAAAGUUGUAACUUUAGGUAUAUGCACCUCACUGUAUGUAAGAUACUGUCUUAGUCCAUUUGUGGUGUUAUAACAAAAUAUCUGAGACUGGGUAACGGGUAAAGAAAAAAAAUGUGUUUCUCACAGUUUUGGUGUCUGAGAAGUCCAAGAUCAAGGGGCCAGCAGGCUUGUAGUCUCGCAAGGGCUGCUCCUGCUUCCAAGAUGGCACCUUGAACAGUGUCCUAACAUGGUGGAAAGGACAGAAAAACAAAAGAAAACAGAGCUAGGUAGUUCCCUCAAGCCCUUUCAUAAGGUCACUAACCCCAUUCAUGAGGGGGCUCCUCCCUUACAGCUUAGUCAUCUCCUAGACUCCACCUCUUAAUUCUAUCACAUUGGGGAUUAAGUUCCAGUAUGAAUUUUAAAGGAGACACAAUCAUUCCAACCAUAGCAAAUAUGCUUUACUAAAAAAAAAAAAAAAAAAAAAAAAAAAAAAGGAAUACCUUGUCUCUAAACAUAAUAUUUUAAGAGUUUAUAUAUUUAUAGCCCAAUUUUCCACUUGCUUAAUGACGACGAGUGUCAUUCUUAGCUGAGAAAAGUUUCAGUAAAUUAUUUUUCUCACAUUAUCUAUUAAUAUCUUAUUCAGAUAAAACCAAAUUUCUAACCUGGAUUUUAGGUUAAGACAGGAACCAUAGUCAUUUGUUGCAAUGUGAGAAUGACAAGAGAGAGAUAUUAACUAGCAGAAUCCAACUAUAAAACUAAAUUUAACGGCACAGUUCUCUACUAAUGACUCCCCUAGACAAAUCAUUACUUGGAUAUCAAUGAAUCAACUAAAAAUGGACGUGAAAACAGUUCGAGUCCUUUUUGCAAUGGAUGGAUGUUUUCAAGACUAUUAAGUGAAGAGGGUUCAGAAACAAGGGGAUAAAUGGCAUGCUAAUUUGGGGUUGAAUGGAGUAAUGAGAUGAUCUUGGAAAUACAAGAAUCCUGCUUAAUGGGACUUGUCUACUUGCAAUUCAAUAAACCAAUAUACGUAAAUUAAAAGAGACGAAGGAAAUGAGCACUCAGAACAAAAUUACAGGAAUAGGGCCGGGCACAGUGGCUCAUGCCUGUAAUCCCAGCACUUUAGUAAGCUGAGGCGGGCAAAUCACCUGAGGUCAGGAGUUUCUGACCAGCCUGGCCAACGUGGUGAAGCCCCGUCUCUACUAAAAAUACAAAAAUUAACCAGGCAUGGUGGCGCGUGCCUAUAGUACCAGAUACUUGGGAGGCUGAGGCAGGAGAAUGGCAUAAAACCAGGAGGCAGAGCUUGCAGUGAGCCGAGAUUGCACCAUUGCACUCCAGCCUGCACGACAGAGCGAGACUCCGUCUCAAAAAAAAAAAAAAAUUACAGGAAUACAUUUAGCAAAGAGGCACCAAAAUUGAGAUAAGAGCCACUGUCCCACCUGUGACAUCUUCUGACAUCUUUCAUUCUUGAGUCAUGGGGGUUGCAAGCCAGGGAACAGAGUCUUCUGCCUGGAAGCUAAAACCAGGUUUUGGGGUAGGUUCAGAGAGACUGUUCAGACUGAAUAUGCAUGUUGCCAGGUCAAAAAUAUCCCGAUUGCAAGAGCAUUUGCAAAGACAAUGGUGCUCAGGGAAAGAUAAUGCUGUGUGUUUAAAAGGGAAAAAAAUUAAAAGAAUGGAAACAAAGAAGAAAAAGUGACCGGAGGACAGGAAGUUAGCCAGAAGACCCAUGUAUCCAUUUUAAACGGUGCGGCCUGAUCUGUAGUCACGCUCAUGCUGCUGCGCAGCUGAGCGCUCUGCACCACCUCUGCCUCGCCCUACCACGCCCUGCCUGGGUCUCCUGGAAGGCUGGAGCGGAACCCACGAUCCUGCGCUGCUCUGGUGCCACCUGCAGGUUACCUGGGGUGUGAGGCGGAGACAAGGCUGAGGU